GUUAGGAAUCUUCCACAAUGGGCGCAAGCCUGAUGGAGCGACGCCGCGUGAGGGAUGAAGGUUUUCGGAUCGUAAACCUCUGAAUCUGGGACGAAAGACGCGUAAGCGGGAUGACGGUACCAGAGUAAUAGCACCGGCUAACUCCGUGCCAGCAGCCGCGGUAAUACGGAGGGUGCAAGCGUUACCCGGAAUCACUGGGCGUAAAGGGCGUGUAGGCGGUUAUUUAAGUCUGGUUUUAAAGACCGGGGCUCAACCCCGGGGAUGGACUGGAGACUGGAUGACUAGACCUCUGGAGAGGCAAUCGGAAUUCCUGGUGUAGCGGUGGAAUGCGUAGAUACCAGGAGGAACACCAACGGCGAAGGCAGAUUGCUGGACAGAAGGUGACGCUGAGGCGCGAAAGUGUGGGGAGCGAACCGGAUUAGAAACCCUAGUAGUCC
rnacentral:rRNA from 1 species